UAAGCUAGAGUAUNUCAGAGGGGGGUAGAAUUCCACGUGUAGCAGUGAAAUGCGUAGAGAUGUGGAGGAAUACCGAUGGCGAAGGCAGCCCCCUGGGAUAAUACUGACGUUCAUGCUCGAAAGCGUGGGUAGCAAACAGGAUUAGAUACCCUGGUAGUCCACGCCCUAAACGAUGUCAUUUAGCUGUUGGGGCACUUGAUGCCUUAGUAGCGAAGCUAACGCGUGAAAUUGACCGCCUGGGGAGUACGGUCGCAAGAUUAAAACUCAAAGGAAUUGACGGGGACCCGCACAAGCGGUGGAUGAUGUGGAUUAAUUCGAUGCAACGCGAAGAACCUUACCUGGUCUUGACAUGUACGGAAUCUUCCAGAGACGGAAGAGUGCCUUCGGGAGCCGUAACACAGGCGCUGCAUGGCUGUCGUCAGCUCGUGUCGUGAGAUGUUGGGUUAAGUCCCGCAACGAGCGCAACCCUUGUCAUUAGUUGCCACCAUUCAGUUGGGCACUCUAAUGAGACUGCCGGUGACAAACCGGAGGAAGGUGGGGAUGACGUCAAGUCCUCAUGGCCCUUAUGACCAGGGCUUCACACGUCAUACAAUGGUCGGUACAGAGGGUAGCCAAGCCGCGAGGUGGAGCCAAUCUCAGAAAACCGAUCGUAGUCCGGAUUGCACUCUGCAACUCGAGUGCAUGAAGUCGGAAUCGCUAGUAAUCGCAGGUCAGCAUACUGCGGUGAAUACGUUCCCGGGUCUUGUACACACCGCCCGUCACACCAUGGGAGUGGGGGAUACCAGAAGU
rnacentral:rRNA from 1 species